AUGUCAGAGGCUGUACUACCAGUGCUCUGCUGUGCAAAAUCUGCAUUUGUUUCGACUGGAAUUACUGAACUGUUUCGUGCUCUGGGGUACAUGCACAAUUUGAUAGUAAAGGGUGGGACGAAAGAUGGAAGUACCUCAGAUCUUCGUCCCCGUCCUUUGCAGCCUCCUCCGACUCCUCUGAAACACCCCUUUGCUCUUCCUCUUCCUCUGAUGAGCCUCCAGCGCGCUUGUGAAUUUUCUUUUUGUGGUGGUAUCGAUGUGUCGGUUUCCAGAUGCGCUUUUCAACCUCUCCCUCUUCUUGUCCUUGCCUUUUGUCAAAGUCCCAGCUCUCCUGGCUGCGUUCUCCAUCCUCGGCGAGUUCCUCAUCACGUCUUUGUCUCCUCUGGUGGUACCUGCCGGGCCUCCAGUUUCUCUUUUCCCUUCCUGUGUCAAAGUCCCAGCUCUCCUGGCUGCGUUCUCCAUCUGCCUCGUCUUGCCCAUCCUCGGCGAGUUCCUCGUCACGUCUUUGUCUCCUCUGGUGGUACCUGCCCGGCCUCCAGUUUUUCUUUUCCCUUCCUGUGUCAAAGUCCCAGCUCUCCUGGCUGCGUUCUUCAUCGGGCUCUUCUCUUGCUCCUUCGGCGAGUUCCUCAUCACGUCUUUGUCUCCUCUGGUGGUACCUGCCGGGCCUCCAGUUUCUCUUUUCUCUUCCUGUGUCAAAGUCCCAGCUCUCCUGGCUGCGUUCUCCAUCUGCCUCGUCUUGCCCAUCCUCGGCGAGUUCCUCAUCGCGUCUUUGUCUCCUCUGGUGGUACCUGCCCGGCCUCCAGUUUUUCUUUUCCCUUCCUGUGUCAAAGUCCCAGCUCUCCUGGCUGCGUUCUUCAUCGGGCUCUUCUCUUGCUCCUUCGGCGAAGUUCCUCAUCACGUCUUUGUCUCCUCUGGUGGUACCUGCCGGGCCUCCAGUUUCUCUUUUCUCUUCCUGUGUCAAAGUCCCAGCUCUCCUGGCUGCGUUCUUCAUCAGGCUCUUCCCUUGCUUCUUCAGAAAGAUCUUCGUCACGUCUUUGUCUCCUCUGGUGGUACCUGCCAGGCCUCCAGUUUCUCUUGUCUCUCUCAUCAAGACCCCAAGACUCCUGGCUGCGAUCCUCAUCUUCCUUCUCCUCUGAUGGCCCAUCACCACGUUUGUGGAGUUUCUUCUUGUGGUGGUAG
rnacentral:lncRNA from 1 species